ACUUGGGAGCGAACGCUUCAAGGUACAAUCCCUGAGCUGUGAGCAGAGGGGCCUGGCCAAGAAAAACCCUGUGUCUGUGUUUAUGAAAAGGCAAACAGAUCCCAAAGGGAGGCCCACGUUCUAGCUGGCGUUGGGCACAGGCCCUCCAGGAAAGCACACACAGAUUCGAAGGAGGCCCUGGCACAGCUUCUCCGGGACCCCAGUGAGCCCCGUUUCAGAGCCCUCUUUAGACACACAGAAUACGAGGAGAGGGAAAGGGCAGCGUGGAGCCUUCUCUUCCUUAGUGCCCAGUAAACGCUGUGUCUGCUCACCGCCGCUUCAGUCCAGCCACGUGAAGCACGUGCACGGUCCAUAAAAGCCUGCCCAGCUGCCCAGAGAGGUGACCCCUUCAAGCCUGACCGACCGUGUUGACGUUCUGCCGGCAAUUGUCUGCAGAGGAGCCCUUGUGCCCCUUUUGAAGUUCAGUGGAGUGAAGUGUAAUCUAAGUGAGCUGGAACACGUUUUGAUAAAGCAGCUUCCAUGGCCAGGGGCCUCCUUUUGGCAAAGCCAUUAACAUGGGAAGCUGAGCCGGGGCUGAGCUUUUCGUCUGGGCCCGCCAGCCCGUCCCCUGGCCUUUGAUCACAGGACAUUAAGAUACUUGCGCACAGAGCAGUAGUUCAGUUCUGACCUCCUUGUUUUCCAGAUGGGGAAACUGAGGCCCAGAGAGGAGGAGCGACUUGCCUGAGGUCACACAGCUGGUGAGGGGCAGGGUCAGUGCUGGGACCCUUGUCCACACCAGCCAGGCCUUCCUCGGGCUGUACAAAAUGGUGGGUGGUCAGUGACAAAAAAGAGAAUGCAGAGGACGACGCAAUAGGGAAGAAUCAGGCUCCCUCCCUGGGGAAGGCUGGCAGACCCUGGCAUCUGCACGCCAGCCAGGUGGGCCGAGAUAGGAAGGAAUCACAGCUAAGCCUGGUUAACACCCACAGCCUCAUCAAAGCACGGCUGCAUUGUUGGUCUCAUACGCUCGUCUCGUCAGGGUUGGCGUCUUGCUGACGGGUGAAAGGGACCUGCUCAAGGCCGCACAGGGCAGGCACUGCUGAGGGGACAUAUUGCCCUGGAAAAGGGCUUUAAAGGUCACUUGGAUGAUGAACAGGGGCAGAGCUAGGAGACUCAGAUCUCAUGAGGCGGUUAUGAGGAUGAAAUGGGUGCUUAGAAGAGCACCCGGCCGGUACGCGCUCACCGAGCUCACCACCACCAUCAGGACGUCUGUCACUCCCAUCCACCCUCAGGGCUGAUUCUCCCAGUGGGGUCGGGUCCCUCUUCCCUCACCCGGAGAGAAAAGGAGGGCUCCUGUAGCAAAGGCUGGACUCAUAGCUGGGCUUCUGGCCCAUGCUUCCAAACCCACUGACUGGAGGCCACUGGAGCGUCCCAUGGGAGCUCUGAGCGGGUGAGUGGCCCCCAUGAUGGCGGAAGCCUGGCCACAUGCUCUGAGGGGUCCGGCCUGUCCUCCGGCUCUCCAGCUGCCUCAAAUCCCCCAGCUUUCAGAGCAUCUGAGGAAGGGAUCCGGUCCUACGAAUCCCCACUUCCUGGUCUCUGGGGAGGCUUCUCAGGAGCCGAGGGCUGGAGAAGGGCUCCCCCAGCCCUCACUGCCAGCCAUGCUCCCAGAACAGGACAACAGGGUAUGAUUCCCAUGAGCUGGGUGAGUCAGGACAGGAGGCAGGGAGACGUGGUCUUUCUUCUCAGCCUCAGACUCUCAGUGUGCAGCUCUCGGGUGGCAGAUGGUUCCUCCCCAUGAUGUCUAACUGCUGUUAGAAGGAGCUGGCGUUCCUAGAGACUGAUGGGGUGGAGAGAGCCCAAGAU
ensembl:lncRNA